GACAGAGGUGCCGAGCGUUAGGCGGAAUCACUGGGCUUAAAGCGUGUGUAGGCGGGUUGUUAAGUCCGCUGUGAAAGCCCGGUGCUCAACGCCGGAGGGUCGGUGGAUACUGGCAGCCUUGAAGUGGCUAGGGGGAAAUGGAAUUACCGGUGUAGCGGUGAAAUGCGUAGAUAUCGGUAGGAACACCAGUGGCGAAGGCGGUUUCCUGGAGCCCACUUGACGCUGAGACGCGAAAGCUGGGGGAGCAAACGGG
rnacentral:rRNA from 1 species